AUUUACUUCUGUCUUUUCAUACUCUAAUGACACAUUACAUGUGAGAAUGUAUGCAUUUUCUACACGCUUUGGCAUAUCUGGGUGACGUGCACCAUGAUCCAUUACUAGACCUGAAAAUGAAUGUGAUCAGUAAGAAUAUCUCAAGAAGAACUGACUCCUCAAUGGAUAAAAUUACUGAAAACCAAAAGAAAUAUUUGAACAGUAUCUUAGUAGAGACUCACUCUUAAGAAAUCUUUUACAACUCCUAAGCCAAAGACUCAAUACAACAAGUUUAAUGUAUAACUAUAUUAUAUAGUAUAAAUUAAAUAUAGUUAGGUUUUGAUGAAAUUAUAUAA